rnacentral:rRNA from 1 species
GCGGAGCAAAUCUCAAAGACCGGUCCCAGUUCGGAUUGUAGGCUGCAACUCGCCUACAUGAAGUCGGAGUUGCUAGUAAUCGCGGAUCAGAAUGCCGCGGUGAAUACGUUCCCGGGCCUUGUACACACCGCCCGUCACACCAUGAGAGUUUGUAACACCCAAAGCCGGUGGGGUAACCUUUUGGAGCCAGCCGUCUAAGGUGGGACAGAUGAUUAGGGUGGAAGUCGUAACAAGGUAGC